rnacentral:tRNA from 1 species
GGGCCAGUAGCUCAGCGGUAGAGCACUGCAUUCGCAUUGCAGGGGUCGGGGGUUCAAUUCCCCCCUGGUCCACCA